rnacentral:lncRNA from 1 species
GAAAUAUCUUCAAAAAUAUGGUAUUUCAAAUCACACAUUUAGGUAUACAAGACAAUAUUACUGGUUUUAGUAUUAUAUCAUAUUUGCUACAAAUUAACAAAAAUCAUGAUGAUGGACUGGAAAUUUGGUGGCCAAAAAGGCAUGCUAAUACUAUGGACUUGCAUUUUUAUGAACUUUUUUGGGGUCUGUAUAAGUUCAUAAAAUCGAGAGUCCAUUGUACUUAGUUUUGUCAGUACAUAAUUUACAGAAUGUUCAUUUUGAGAUUGUGCCUGAUACAUCUGUAAAGCUCAUUUAUUCAUCUGUCAACAAUAAAGAAUUUUUAAUUUGUGUGACAAUAAAAUUUGCUCAGUUAUAUUUUCAUUUCUUUAAAGUUUGAG